rnacentral:lncRNA from 1 species
GUCAUUUGGUGUUCUAUGAAGAGCUGUCUAAUUGGCAAUUGUACCCCAUCUUCUUUUUCUAUGCUACAAACAUUUCUGGACAAACGGAAAAUACUUUGAAAGAUAACUUAGUCAUAAGCAGUCUAACAAUGAAUAUUGCACAAUUACUUUAACAUUUGAAAAAUCCGCCGGUGCCAAAAUUGCAGGAUUUCCAACCCUUUCGGAACAUCUGAGAUCAUCCAAGGUUUUGUUGGGUUACGUGUUGCAAAGUUUUUAGUUUUCUAUAUUAUUUGGACUGCUGUUUGUCUUCUCGUCGGUUACCGUUUUUCGCUAUGGCUAUGUCGGUUUGAUUGUUCCUUUGGUGUCUUUUGCCUCUCUUGCAAAAUGUUACCUCUCCUUGCAAAAGUAAAGACACGUACUGUACAAGGAGGAAUUUUUGUACAGUUAAAAAUAUAUAUUUGCAGAAGCAAAGUUAUGAGAGUUAAUCAGAUCUGCACACACUUUUAGAGAAUCGUGUAGCAGUCAUGUGUUCUCGUAUAUGGCCGAAAAGAGAUCGAAGAGUGGUCGAAUGUGAUCGCGAAGUGAUCGGGUAUUGGUCGAGUUGGUCUGGGAUAAAAUAAUUAUACAAGUCGCAGUGAUCUGGAAGCGAUCGGGCAAUGGUCGAGUUAAUCUGGAAAUGAUCAUGCAUCAGUCGAGCAAAGGUCGAAAUGAUCGAGUACUGAUCGGUAAAAUUUUUGUAUUCCGACCAAACUCUAUCUCUACACGAUCAUUUCCCGAUCAAUUCGACCGCUACUCGACGAAUUCUCGAU